rnacentral:rRNA from 1 species
AUUGAACGCUGGCGGCAUGCCUUACACAUGCAAGUCGAACGGUAACGGGCCUUCGGGUGCCGACGAGUGGCGAACGGGUGAGUAAUACAUCGGAACGUGCCCGAUCGUGGGGGAUAACGAGGCGAAAGCUUUGCUAAUACCGCAUACGAUCUACGGAUGAAAGCAGGGGACCGCAAGGCCUUGCGCGGACGGAGCGGCCGAUGGCAGAUUAGGUAGUUGGUGGGAUAAAAGCUUACCAAGCCGACGAUCUGUAGCUGGUCUGAGAGGAUGAUCAGCCACACGGGGACUGAGACACGGCCCAGACUCCUACGGGGGGCAGCAGUGGGGAAUUUUGGACAAUGGGCGCAAGCCUGCUCCAGCCAUGCCGGGUGCAGGAUGAAGGCCUGCGGGUUGUAAACUGCUUUUGUACGGAACAAAAAGCUUUUUUUUAAUACAGGGGGGUCAGGACGGUACCGAAAGAAUAAACCCCGGCUAACUACGU